CAGCAUUUUCCGCAAGGAAUCCAUGGCCGCCUGCACAGCCAGCGGAGCGCCCACGGGAGCUCCCCGCAGCCGCAAGCUGUUGCCGCGCGGUCUCACUACCCCUUGGCGCAGGCUAGAUCUCCUUUUACAGGUGACAAAAAUGAGGCUUACAGGUUAGGCCACUAGAUUAUACAAGUCAGUCAGCGCAGGGGUUUUGAUUCAGUUCCUGUCUGCUGCUUUUAGGAGCUCCAGUUAGUUGAAACUGGGGAAUGACCCAAUUGUACCUUCUCUUUUCAGCAUUCAUUUUGUGCUAAAUAUUGCGCACAUCAUUGUAUGUAAUCUCCGUAACUCCAAGUUAUUCUCACUCUGCAGAU
rnacentral:lncRNA from 1 species